UAGCUCAGUUGGUAGAGCGUGGUGUUUGCAACACCAGGGUUGUGGGUUCAAUUCCCAC
rfam:Salmo salar isolate Sally breed double haploid chromosome ssa03, whole genome shotgun sequence.